AUUGAACGCUGGCGGCAGGCUUAACACAUGCAAGUCGAGCGGGGUGAUGGUGCUUGCACUAUCACUUAGCGGCGGACGGGUGAGUAAUGCUUAGGAAUCUGCCUAUUAGUGGGGGACAACAUCUCGAAAGGGAUGCUAAUACCGCAUACGUCCUACGGGAGAAAGCAGGGGAUCACUUGUGACCUUGCGCUAAUAGAUGAGCCUAAGUCGGAUUAGCUAGUUGGUAGGGUAAAGGCCUACCAAGGCGACGAUCUGUAGCGGGUAGGAGAGGAUGAUCCGCCACACUGGGACUGAGCCACGGCCCAGACUCCUACGGGAGGCAGCAGUGGGGAAUAUUGGACAAUGGGGGGAACCCUGAUCCAGCCAUGCCGCGUGUGUGAAGAAGGCCUUAUGGUUGUAAAGCACUUUAAGCGAGGAGGAGGCUCUUUUGGUUAAUACCCAAGAUGAGUGGACGUUACUCGCAGAAUAAGCACCGGCUAACUCUGUGCCAGCAGCCGCAGUAA
rnacentral:rRNA from 1 species